GUCCCUGUAGGGCAGUGGAUAGCGCGUUGGACUUCCUAUCCAAAGGUCAUGGGUUCGAAUUCCACCAGGGAUG